CAAUGCUCAUGAAGGAAUUCCCAUCCAUGUUUGGAUUUUCUGUAAGCCAUACGACCCGAGCUCCAAGGGGCACGGAGAAAGAUGGAGUGCACUACCAUUUCACUGAGAGAAGUGUUAUGGAGAAAGAGAUAGAAGAUGAGAAAUUCCUUGAGUUUGCUUCUGUUCAUGGAAAUCUCAAUGUCAAGAAUACAUCUCUUCCCUGC
rnacentral:misc_RNA from 1 species